GAUGAACGCUGGCGGCGUGCUUAACACAUGCAAGUCGAACGAAGCACCUCUCCCGAAGAUUGACACAGCUUGCUGUAGAUUGAUUCAUUUGAGGUGACUGAGUGGCGGACGGGUGAGUAACGCGUGGGUAACCUGCCUCAUAGAGGGGGACAACAGUUGGAAACGACUGCUAAUACCGCAUAGUAAGAAGAAUUCGCAUGUUUUCUUCUUGAAAGAUUUAUCGCUAUGAGAUGGACCCGCGUCUGAUUAGCUAGUUGGUAAGGUAACGGCUUACCAAGGCGACGAUCAGUAGCCGGCUUGAGAGAGUGAACGGCCACAUUGGGACUGAGACACGGCCCAAACUCCUACGGGAGGCAGCAGUGGGGAAUAUUGCACAAUGGGGGAAACCCUGAUGCAGCGACGCCGCGUGAGUGAAGAAGUAUUUCGGGAUGUAAAGCUCUAUCAGCAGGGAAGAUAAUGACGGUACCCGACUAAGAAGCCCCGGCUAACUACGUG
rnacentral:rRNA from 1 species